CCUGGUUGAUCCUGCCAGUAGCAAAUGUUUGUCUCAAAGAUUAAGCCAUGCAAGUCUAAGUACACACGGACGGUACCGUGAAACUGCGAAUGGCUCAUUAAAUCAGUUAUGGUUAAUUUGAUUGCUCAAACGUUACUUUGAUAACUGUGGUAAUUCUAAAGUUCAUAAAUGCACCCUCUGGGGAUGCGAGCAACUAUCAGACCCAAAACCCAUGCGGGGUCGCUCCUCUGGGGGCCUGUUGGUGACUCUAGAACACCUGGAGCCGAUCGCUGGCCCUCCGUGGCGGCGACGUCUCUUUCGAAUGUCUGCACCAUCAACUUUGGAUGGUACUUUCUGUGCCUACCAUGGUGACAACGGGUAACGGGGAAUCAGGGUUCGAUUCCGGAGAGGGAGCCUGAGAUACGGCUAGCACAUCCAAGGAAGGCAGCAGGCGCGCNNNNNNAAAUUACCCACUCCCGACUCGGGGAGGUAGUGACGAAAAAAUAAUACAGAACUCUUUCAAGGCCCUGUAAUUGGAAUAAGUACACUUUAAAUCCUUUAGCGAGGAUCCAUUGAGGGCAAAUCUGGUGCCAGCAGCCGCUGUAAUCCCAGCUCCAACAAAGUUGCUGCAAUUCAAAAGCUCAUAGUUGGAAAAGUCCAUGCAAAUGGCCAUAGACCAGAGUUUCGGGUUUCCCCGUCCAGAACCCAAGUCUUUGAGUCAGCUUGCAGGUACAAAUCAAGGCAAUGUGGUGCGUUGAGGACUUGGAUUUUGUAGUGGCGUGUGGGUACCACAGAAGUACAAACUGUUGCACUGCCUCAACACUUCACAUCAAGCCUCAUCCCACUGUAGGUGACGGACAAGUGCUAAUAACCAGUACAAAAACAGAAGAAGUAGAACCCCGCCCCCUGCCCCACCACCGG
rnacentral:rRNA from 1 species